UACAGAGGGUGCAAGCGUUAAUCGGAAUUACUGGGCGUAAAGCGCGCGUAGGUGGUUCGUUAAGUUGGAUGUGGAAUCCCCGGGCUCAACCUGGGAACUGCAUUCAAAACUGACGAGCUAGAGUAUGGUAGAGGGUGGUGGAAUUUCCUGUGUAGCGGUGAAAUGCGUAGAUAUAGGAAGGAACACCAGUGGCGAAGGCGACCCCCUGGACUGAUACUUACACUGAGGUGCGAAAGCGUGGGGAGCAAACAGG
rnacentral:rRNA from 1 species